rnacentral:lncRNA from 1 species
UAGGAUUCCCCAUGAGGAUGACUAUUGCAUACUCUGCUGUCCCCACAUGCUUCAAGAUGGCCACCGUUGUUCCUGUACCCAAGAAGGCAAAGAUCCACAGACGAUGCAAUCACCAUCACUCUGCACACUGCCCUAUCCCAUCUGGACAAGAAGAAUACCUAUGUAAGAAUGCUGUUUAUUGACUAUAGGUCAGCAUUCAACACCAUAGUACCCUGCAAGCUCAUCAUUAAGCUCGAGACCCUGGGUCUGAACCCCACCCCGUGCAACUGGAUCCUGGACUUCCUGACAGCCCUCCCCCGGGUGGUGAUCGUAGGAAACAUCACCUCCACUCCGCUGAUACCCAACACUGGGGCCCCACAAGGGUGCAUGCUCAGUCCCCUCCUGUACUCCCUGUUCACCCAUGACUGCGUGGCCAAGCAUACCUCCAACUCAAUCAUCAAGUUUGCAGACGACACAAC